GACGAACCGAGCGAACGUUGUUCGGAAUCACUGGGCUUAAAGGGCGCGUAGGCGGGCUGUCAAGUCUGGGGUGAAAUCCCGCGGCUCAACCGUGGAACUGCCUCAGAUACUGACGGUCUCGAGGGAGGUAGGGGCGAGCGGAACUGAUGGUGGAGCGGUGAAAUGCGUUGAUAUCAUCAGGAACUCCGGUGGCGAAGGCGGCUCGCUGGACCUCUUCUGACGCUGAGGCGCGAAAGCCAGGGGAGCAAACAGG
rnacentral:rRNA from 1 species